UAUCAGUGAUGCCAAUCCCGGCAACUAAUUUCCUUAUCUCUACUGUCGGUGAUAGUCAUAUCGAGCUCGGAGACGGGCAUGUAACAGUUAGUGGUCUGUUGUCCAGUAGUGGCUGUGUGCAAUUUUACACGCCUAUAUAGAACAAGUUCCCUCAACUUCCAGCUUCUCUGACGCAACAGUAAAUACGCUGCAAUUGACAGUUAGUAGCAGUCAUUUCCACUGGUGUUUUCCUCCAAGAGGCAGGGACCAUGAUUUCCUCCCAACUACGUCGCUUUGCCACCACGGCCCUUCGCACUACUAAACCUGGAGACAAUCUACCCUUCAGGCUCGAUAACCCCUACAGGUUUACUUUCGUCUACUUUGUGUUCUUCGGUUCCGCCAUAGGCCUGCCCUUCUACAUGCUUAAACUACAGCUGCAGAAGUAACAGACAUGCAGUAAACGACAACUUCAGAGAGCUUCUCGCGCCAAUAGAACAGUUAGUAAAUGUAUUAAUUAAUCGUAAAUAAAUUAUCACAAGGAUGAUAUUUUAA